rfam:Mycoplasma genitalium G37, complete genome.
GGGGAUGUUUUGGGUUUGACAUAAUGCUGAUAGACAAACAGUAGCAUUGGGGUAUGCCCCUUACAGCGCUAGGUUCAAUAACCGACAAAGAAAAUAACGAAGUGUUGGUAGAUCCAAAUUUGAUCAUUAACCAACAAGCAAGUGUUAACUUUGCUUUUGCAUAAGUAGAUACUAAAGCUACAGCUGGUGAAUAGUCAUAGUUUGCUAGCUGUCAUAGUUUAUGACUCGAGGUUAAAUCGUUCAAUUUAACCUUUAAAAAUAGAACUUGUUGUUUCCAUGAUUGUUUUGUGAUCAAUUGGAAACAAGACAAAAAUCCACAAAACUAAAAUGUAGAAGCUGUUUGUUGUGUCCUUUAUGGAAACGGGUUCGAUUCCCGUCAUCUCCACCA